UUGGUCAUGCUGGGACCUGUACUUCCGGCUCAGCUCCUGGUUCCUGGUGUUGGGGGCCCGGGCUGGGGGCUUUCCCUGCCAAAGAAAAGCUGGUGAGAGUCUCAAACCCAGCGUGGACUCGCACGGUGAAUGUCAGUAGGAGGGCCAAAGCAAGGCUGGCUGCUUCCAAACAUCUCUCAAAGAUCCAUGCACCAUCACAGCUGGAAGAGCCCUUGUUAUGUGGUCCGGUGGCACUUUGCACAGAACCCUGAUACAUAAACCGGAAGAGAGCGGGACUCAGGCACUGGAGGCCGCACCAAAGUCAAGUGAGCUGGAUGCUUUCUCCCCAGGCCACCCCCGGGCCGGACACGGAGGUGCACAGAGACUGCCGUGGCCUGGUGACAGCUCACCAGCCUGAUGCCCUCACAGAGCCAAGCCCAAGACCCUUGGAAACACGAGGCGUUUCAAGUCCAGAGAACGGCCCAGGAGCAGUGCUCGUACCUGGGCUGCGGGCUGCCGCUGGCUCCGGUGCGGGUUGGCUGUUUUGGCGGUGUUGGUCACUGUGGGCACUCCGUUCACGUUCUGUUGGAACAAAGCCCAUUUUCCUGUUAGGAACAGGAGUGGAUGAGCCAGGGAAAACCUGCCCUGGGGGCUCUCUGUGGACUGCCUCCGUCGUCACAGCUUCCCACGCAGCCUCUGAGCCCGGCAGGACGUGACUGGCCUUACAGAGAGCUCACCUCCUGCGACUCCACUCGCUAAUGAGGAACCCUUCAUUUUUGUUCAACACUAAGAAAAUGGCGGGGAAAACUCUCCACGCCAAUGUCCACUGCUGGCCUGGCCUGGGACACCCCUCAAGGAGAGACGUGGCGCUCCGUGGGGAGGGGGUAAAUUCAAGCAGAUGUGUGUGGGUGGGCUUUGUGGUCCCCCAUGUGUGGCUUCCUCCUAAUAAGAUUUUUCUGCAUGGAUUCCUCCCCGACCGGCAUCCUAAGGCUGAGUGUGUGGCUCCGGGAAGUGUGGCUGGCCACACCUUGGGUUUGCGUGAAAAAUGACUGAGGUGUACUUUCUGUGGCUAAAUGCUGUGCUUGGGCUGGAGUCUGGAGCUAACCCAGGCUUUGCCACCUGACUGAUCCUUGUUGUGUGCAGGCCGUGGUGAGCGCCUGCCACCCCGACAUCCACGCAGGCCGUGGGACACGCUGCCCGGCAUCCUGCCCCCCCCCCCAGUUGUCUUGAGGGACUUCUAAGUGACCCCAAAGUAUGCAAGAACCUGGUGCCAUACCUUGUGGUGCAUCAGUGAAAUGAAGUCUGCAGUCGACGAGCUGGAACGAAACACAGACCAUGGGAGGUGUGCCACAGGCGCUCUCCCCCCACGCUGGGCAGCUGGCGGGAGGGACCCAGUGUCUGGCCUACGGAGAAGACUCGGCCCCCAGGUCUCCCUCACCGUCUGAGAGGCCGUGGGAUUCGUGGAGCCAAGGGCCUGAUUCCUCCCACGGGAAGCUAACAGUACUCCUGCUGGCGGACAUGGGGUCCUUGUGGGGUACCUGCACU